rnacentral:rRNA from 1 species
UCACAAGUACCCGUGAGGGAAAGUUGAAAAGAACUUUGAAGAGAGAGUUCAAAAGGGCGUGAAACCGCUUAGAAUAAAACGGACGGAACCGUCUGUAGCCGUUCGGAAUCAGUCGAGUCGACGCGUAAAGGCGAGCGCGAUGAUAAAACGGAACGCGAGUCCCGUCGUCUCGUCCAGAACGCUCGUUCGAUGCAUUUCCGAACGGUAAGCGCCGCGACCGAUGUCAACGGCUAACGUAUCCGGGCGAUUGAGGUGGAGCGCGUUCGCGCGUCUCAUUACCAGUCGACUCGGACCGGCGUUAGACCGACGCAUCGAGAGAUACUUUUGACUUAACGCCGGCGAAUAUAUAGCGCUCGCCUAUAGGGACGUAAUUAGGGCCGCUCGUCCUGAACUUGCUCGCAGGUUCGGGUUCGAGUCAGGUUCUACGUUACAAGUCCUCGGCGACGUUUCGGCGUUUUGGCGUCCGCGGCGUCCGAGUCGGUCACCCGUCCGACCCGUCUUGAAACACGGACCAAGGAGUCUAACGUAUACGCGAGCUAAUGGGCGGAAAACCCAUAAGCGAAAUAAAAGUAAAAGCCGUUUCGGACGGCCCAGGUACGAUCUCGAAUACGAAACGAUUUAUUCGAGCGCAGUACCGUCCCAUCCUGACCGCUCGUCGGUAGGGUGGAGAAAGAGUGAAUACGUUGGGACCCGAAAGAUGGUGAACUAUGCCUGAGCAGAGCGAAGCCAGAGGAAACUCUGGUGGAGGUUCGUAGCGGUUCUGACGUGCAAAUCGAUCGUCAGACUUGGGUAUA